rnacentral:rRNA from 1 species
CGGCAGGCCUAAUACAUGCAAGUCGAGGGGUAAUCACACUUUCGGGUGUGAACGACCGGCGCACGGGUGCGUAACGCGUAUGCAACCUACCCACAACUGGGGGAUAGCCCGGAGAAAUCCGGAUUAAUACCCCAUAAUGCAGGGGUACUGCAUGGUACUAUUUGCUAAAGAUUUAUCGGUUGUGGAUGGGCAUGCGUCUGAUUAGUUAGUUGGUGAGGUAACGGCUCACCAAGGCGACGAUCAGUAGGGGGUCUGAGAGGAUGAUCCCCCACACUGGUACUGAGAUACGGACCAGACUCCUACGGGAGGCAGCAGUAGGGAAUAUUGGUCAAUGGGCGGAAGCCUGAACCAGCCAUGCCGCGUGCAGGAUGACGGCCUUCUGGGUUGUAAACUGCUUUUAUCAGGGAAGAAAACGGUCAUGCGUGACAGAUUGACGGUACCUGAAGAAUAAGCACCGGCUAACUCCGUGCCAGCAGCCGCGGUAAUACGGAGGGUGCAAGCGUUGUCCGGAUUUAUUGGGUUUAAAGGGUGCGUAGGCGGAUUAUUAAGUCAGUGGUGAAAGUUUGCGGCUCAACCGUAAAAGUGCCAUUGAUACUGGUAGUCUUGAGUACAGUAGAGGUAGGCGGAAUUUAUGGUGUAGCGGUGAAAUGCAUA